UGCCCCGCCUGGGGAGUACGGUCGCAAGGCUGAAACUCAAUAGGAAUUGACUGGGGCCCGCACAAGCGGUGGUAGCAUGUGGUUUAAUUCGACGCAACGCGCAGAACCUUUACCUGGGUUUGACAUGUCACUGCGAUGCCAUGCGAGGGGCAGUUCAUUCGGGACGGUGUCACAGGUGCUGCAUGGCUGUCGUCAGCUCGUGUCGUGAGUAUGUUGGGUUUAGUCCCGCAUACGAGCGCAUACCCUUGCCAUUCGUUACCAGCAGUGUAGGCUUGGGGUACUCGAGGGGGACUGCCGGUGUCAAGCCGGAGGAAGUGGGGUAUUACGUCAAGUCCUCAUGGCCCUGUACGCCCAGGGCUACUACUACGUGCUACAUAUGGAGCGGACAACGGGGAGCGUACCACUGCGUAGGGGGAGCCAAUCCCUGAAACCGGUUCUGAGUGCGGAUUGGAGUCUGCAACUCGACUCCAUGAAGGUGGAUCGCUAGUAUCGCGGAUCAGCAUGCCGCGGUGUAUACGUCCCGGCAUUGUACACACCGCCCGUCA
rnacentral:rRNA from 1 species